UGGGCAACCUGCCCCAGACUCUGGGAUAACUCCGGGAAACCGGGGCUAAUACCGGAUACUCCGAUCGGACGACAUCGUCUGACCGGGAAAGCUCCGACGGUCUGGGAUGGCCCNCGGCCUAUCAGCUUGUUGGCGAGGUAACGGCUCACCAAGGCGACGACGGGUAGCUGGUCUGAGAGGACGACCAGCCACACUGGAACUGAGACACGGCCCAAACUCCUACGGGA
rnacentral:rRNA from 1 species